ensembl:lncRNA
GGUGUGCCUGUCUGCAGAGUGCUCAAUUGGCAUGUUCCCCACAACUACAGUCCCCUGCUGGACUACUUCCACAGGUUUGCCUGUCUGGAAUGGGAUGGUGCAGCCUGUUUCCCGCGAUGAGUGAGCCUGGGACGAGGGACCCCACAAUGGCAUCCACACAUGUGCCUGUCUGGAAUGGGAUGGAGUGGCAUGUUCCCCCGACCAGGGACACCGUGACUGUUUACACAGAUGUGCCUGUCUGUAAUGGUCUGGAGCUGCAUGUUUCCCUGAUAAAGGACUCCCCCAAUGGGAUCCACAGGUGUGCCUGUCUGGAAUGGCUGGAGCGGCCUAUUCCCUGAGACAAGGGGCACUGCGAUGGUGUCCACAGUUUUGACUGUUUGGAAUGCGGUGGAUCAGCACGUGCCCACUGAGAGAGACACCAUGAUGGCAUCCACAGUUGUGCCUAUGUGGAAUGGGGCUGGAGUGGCAUGUUCCCCGUGACUAGGACCCUGCGAUGGAGUCCACAGUUAUGCUUCUCUGGAACGGGCUGGGGAGUUUUCCCUGGAUGAGGGACCCUGUGACAGCAUCCACAGGUGUGCCUGUCUGUAAAAGGUUGAGUGGCGUGUUCUCUGCGACGCAGGUACCCCGCAACAGCAUCCUCAUGUGUCCCUGGCUGGAACGGGUCUCGAGCGGCAUGUUCCCUGCAUCUUGAGAACCUCGCGAUGGCAUUCACAGGUGUGUCUGUCUGUAAUGGGAUGGAUUGGUGUGUUCCUGUGAUGAGGAACCCCUGACGGCAUCCACAGUUGUGCCUGUCUGUAAUGAGAUGGAGGGGCAUGUUCCCCAAGAUGAGGGACACUGCGACAGUGUCCACAGGUUUGCAUGUCUAGAACGGGUUUUCCCCAUGAUGAGCAGCCCCGCAAUGGCAUCCACAGGUGUGCCUGUCUGGAGUGGGCUGGAGCAGCGUGUUCCACAUGACAAGGAAGGGACCCCCUCAAUGGCAUCCAAAGUUGUGCCAGUAUGGGAUACGGGAUGGAGUGGCAUGUUCCCUGCACCCAGGUCCCUCUGACAUCCUCCCCAGGUUUGCCUUUCCGGAAAGGGAUGGUGCGGCCUGUUCCCCACAAUGAGUGACCCCACGUUGAAGGACCCUGCGAAGAUGUUCACAGGUGUGCCUGUCUGGAAUGGGCUAGAGUGUCAUGUUCCCCACAAAGAGGGACCCUGCGCCAUCAUCCACAGGUGCGCCUGUCUCAAAUGGGAUGGUAUUGGCAUGUUCCCCAAAAUGAGAGACCCCGUGAGAACUUUCACUGGUGUGUCUGACAGAAACAGGCUUGAGUGUAUUCCCUGGGGUGAUGGACUCCGCAACAGCAUCCAUAACUGUGCCUGUAUGGAAUUAGCUGGAGCAGUGUGUGCCCCAACAUGAGGGACCCCACAAGGAGUUCCACAGAUAUGCCCAUCUGAAACGGGCUCAAGCAGCGUGUUCCAUGUGAUGAGGGACCCCUUUCAGUGUCCAGAGUUGUGCCUGUCUGGAAUGGGCUGGAGUGGUGUGUUCCCUCUUGAGGGAUACCGUGAAGGAGUCAACAGGUUUGCCUGUCUGGAAUGGGCUGGAGUGGCAUGUUCCCUGUGAUGAAGGAACACGUGAUGGUGUCCACAGGUGUCCCUGUCUGGAAUGGGCUGAAUCAGCAUAUUCUGUGCAUCGAGGGACCCCACAACAGCAUCCACAGUUGUGCCUGUCUAGAAUGGGGUUGAUCAUUGUGUUGCCCUCGCCAAGGGACCCUGCAACUUCGUUCACACUUGUGCCUGUCUGGAAAUGGCUGGAGUGGCAUGUUCUCUGCAACAAAGGACACAGGAAUGGUGUCCAUAGUUUUGCCUGUCUGGAAUGGGGUGGAUCAGCGUGUGCCCUUUUGAUGAGAGAUGCCAUGAUGGUGUCCACAGGUGUUCCUGUAUGGAACAGGCUGGAUAGCCUUGUGCACCAUGAUGAGGGACCCCGUGAUUUCAUCCAAGGUGUGCCUGUCUAGAAAGGGCUGGAGCAGCAUGUUCCCCUUGAGGGACACCACGAUGGUUUACAAAGGUUUGCCUGUCUGGAACAUUGUGGAGCUGCGUGUUCCCUCAACUAGGGACCCUGAGAUGGCAUCCACAGGUGUGCCUGUCUGGCACGGUGUGGUUCGGCCUGUUCUCCACAAUGAGGAACCCCCGAUGAUGUCCUCAAGUGUGCCUGUCUGGAAUGGGCUGGAGCGGCAUCUUCCCUGUGACUAGGGACCCCACAAAAGCAUCCACAGUUUUGCCUGUCUUAAACAGGCUGGAGAGGAAUGUUCCCCACAAUGAGCGGCCUCACGAUGGCAUCCAAAGGUGUGCCUGUUUGGAAUGGGCUGGAGCAUUGUGUUCCCUGUUACAAUGGACCUUGCAAUGGUGUCCACAUUUGUGCGUGUCUGGAAUGGUCUGGAGCUUCAUGUUUCCAUGAUGACGGACCCAGCGACAGCAUCCACAGGUGUGCCUGUCUAGAACUGGCUGGAUCGACGUGUUCUGCAUGACAAAGGACCCUGUGAUGACAUCCACAGUUGUGUUUAUAUGGAACAGACCGGAGUGGUAUGUUCUGCAUGAUGAGGGAUCCUGCGAUGGCAUUCACAGGUGUACCUGUGUGGAAUGGGCCUGAUAUGGCAUGUUCCCCACCACAGGGCCCCCACGAGGACUUUCACAGGUUUCCCUGCCAGAAACGGGCCUAAGCGGUGUGUUCCCCAUGAUGAUGGACCCCACGAUGGCGUUCACAGUUGUACCUGUCUGGAAUGGCCUGGAGCGUCAUGUUCUCCAACACAAGGAACCCCGUGAGGAAUUCCACAGGUGUGCCUGUCUGGAACGGGCUCUAGUGGCAUGUGCCCCGCAACAAAGGACCCCACUCUGGCAUGCAGAGUUCUACCUGUCUGGAACAGGCUGGAGUGGUGUGUUCCCCACGUGAGGAACACUGUGAUGGCAUCAACAGUUUUGCCUCUCUGUAAUGGGCUAAGUUGGCAUAUUCCAUGCAUCAAUGGACCCUGCACCAUCAUCCACAGGUGUGCCUGUAUGGAAUGGGGUGGAUCAUCAUGUUCCCCUCGACAAGGGGUCCCCUUGACUGUUCACAGUUGUGCCUGUCUGGAAUGGGGUGGAGCAGCAUGUUCCUCACAACCAGGGACCCCGCGCCAUCAUCCACAGGUGUGCCUGUCUGGAAAUGGCUGGAGUGGCAUGUUCCAUGCAAGAAGGGCCACCACAACAGUGUCCAGAGUUUUGCCUGUCUGGAAUGGGGUGGAUUGGCGUGUUCCCCUUGGACAAGGGACACCACAAUAUUGUCCACUGGUGUUGCUUUCUGGAACAAGCUGGAUCAGCUUGUGCACCACAAUGAGGGAGCCCACAAUGGCUUCCCCAGGUUUUCCUGUCUGGAAAGUCCAGGAGCAGUAUGUUCCCCUUGAUACAGGACACCAUCAUGGUUUACACAGGUAUGCCUGUCUGAAACAGUCUGGGCUGCAUGUUCCCCCGUGAGGUUCCCCGUGACAGCAUCCACAGAUGUGCCUGUCUGGCAAGGGUGGAUUGGCGUGUUCCCCACAGUUAUGAACCCCACAAUGGCAUCCACAAGUAUGCCUGUCUAGAAUGGCCUGGAGCGGCAUCUUCCCCAUGACUAGGGAUGCUGCAACAGUGUCCACAGGUUUCCUUGUCCUGAAUGUGCUGCAGGGGAAUGUUACCCACAAGAGCAGCCCCGCGAUGGCAUCCACAAGUGUGCAUGUCUGGAAUGGGCUGGAUUGAUGUGUUCCCCAUGACAAGGGACCCUGUGCAGUUGUCCAAAUGUGUGCCUGUCUGGAUAUGGCUGGAGUGGCAUGUUCCCUGUGACAAGUGACACUUUGACUGGUGUUCACAGUUUUGCCUGUCUAGAAUGGGGUGGAUCAGCUUGUGCCCUUCGAGUAAUAGAUGCCAUGAUGGGGCCAACAGGUGUUCCUGUCUGGAACAGGCUGGAUCAGCUUGUGCACCUUGAUGAGGGAGCCCAGGAUGGCAUCCACAGGUGUGCCUGUCUGGAACUGGCUGGAUCGACAUGUUCCGCAUGACUGAGGACCCUGUGAUGGCAUCCACAGUUGUGCUUUUUUGACGGAACAGACUGAAGUGUUUUCCGGGUGACAAGGGACCCUGCGAUGGCAUUCACAG